rnacentral:rRNA from 1 species
UACACUCCUACGGGAGGCAGCAGUGGGGAAUUUUGGACAAUGGGCGAAAGCCUGAUCCAGCAAUGCCGCGUGUGUGAAGAAGGCCUUCGGGUUGUAAAGCACUUUUGUCCGGAAAGAAAUCCUUGGCUCUAAUACAGUCGGGGGAUGACGGUACCGGAAGAAUAAGCACCGGCUAGCUACGUGCCAGCAGCCGCGGUAAUACGUAGGGUGCGAGCGUUAAUCGGAAUUACUGGGCGUAAAGCGUGCGCAGGCGGUUUGCUAAGACCGAUGUGAAAUCCCCGGGCUCAACCUGGGAACUGCAUUGGUGACUGGCAGGCUAGAGUAUGGCAGAGGGGGGUAGAAUUCCACGUGUAGCAGUGAAAUGCGUAGAGAUGUGGAGGAAUACCGAUGGCGAAGGCAGCCCCCUGGGCCAAUACUGACGCUCAUGCACGAAAGCGUGGGGAGCAAACAGGAUUAGAUACCCGGGUAGUCCC